rnacentral:rRNA from 1 species
GACGAACGCUGGCGGCGUGCUUAACACAUGCAAGUCGAACGGAAAGGCCCUGCUUUUGUGGGGUGCUCGAGUGGCGAACGGGUGAGUAACACGUGAGUAACCUGCCCCUGACUUUGGGAUAACUUCAGGAAACUGGGGCUAAUACCGGAUAGGAGCUCCUGCUGCAUGGUGGGGGUUGGAAAGUUUCGGCGGUUGGGGAUGGACUCGCGGCUUAUCAGCUUGUUGGUGGGGUAGUGGCUUACCAAGCCUUUGACGGGUAGCCGGCCUGAGAGGGUGACCGGCCACAUUGGGACUGAGAUACGGCCCAGACUCCUACGGGAGGCAGCAGUGGGGAAUAUGACACAAUGAGCGGAAGCCUGAUGCAGCAACGCCGCGUGCGGGAUGACGGCCUUCGGGUUGUAAACCGCUUUCGCCUGUGACGAAGCGUGAGUGACGGUAAUGGGUAAAGAAGCACCGGCUAACUACGUG